rnacentral:rRNA from 1 species
GGCUCAGGACGAACGCUGGCGGCGUGCUUAACACAUGCAAGUCGAACGCUGAAGCUUGGUGCUUGCACUGGGUGGAUGAGUGGCGAACGGGUGAGUAAUACGUGAGUAACCUGCCCUUGACUCUGGGAUAAGCCUGGGAAACUGGGUCUAAUACUGGAUAUGACAUGUCACCGCAUGGUGGUGUGUGGAAAGGGUUUUACUGGUUUUGGAUGGGCUCACGGCCUAUCAGCUUGUUGGUGGGGUAAUGGCUCACCAAGGCGACGACGGGUAGCCGGCCUGAGAGGGUGACCGGCCACACUGGGACUGAGACACGGCCCAGACUCCUACGGGAGGCAGCAGUGGGGAAUAUUGCACAAUGGGCGAAAGCCUGAUGCAGCGACGCCGCGUGAGGGAUGACGGCCUUCGGGUUGUAAACCUCUUUCAGCACGGAAGAA